UGCCUAAAAUAAGGAGGGGAAGCUGGAAAUGGGUAAGCUAUCUCAAAGAUUACUGUGCCAACUGUACAUUGGCAGGCUUUAGCUACAUUGCCAAUCAAAAUCUGCACUUGAUUGAACGGAUUUUUUGGCUGAUAUGUGUCGUAUUCUCCACUAUGGGUUCUUAUUUACUGAUCAGUCAGUAUCAAAGGGACUUCAAUAGUCGCGCCGUGAGUAUCGUUUAUGAAAGCUUGCCAUCGACUCAUAAGAUGUUGUUCCCGACCAUAGCAGUUUGUGAUAUGUACAAUAAGUUUGUCGCACCUCCGGAGCUAAUAGAUUACGUAACGUCACUUGGAUCUCCAGAUGAGGAGUACAGCUAUGACGUAGAGACAUUCAUAAAUUUCCUUGUGUAUCCCUAUUUCUAUCGAGAGGAUAACAUUAAAGGUUGGUGCUCUG